CCUACGGGUGGCUGCAGUGGGGAAUAUUGCACAAUGGGGGAAACCCUGAUGCAGCAACGCCGCGUGAGUGAGUAAGUAUUUCGGUAUGUAAAGCUCUAUCAGCAGGGAAGAGAAUAAAAGGUCCCUGACAACGAAGCCCCGCCUAACUACGUGCCAGCAGCCGCGGUAAUACGUAGGUGGCAAGCGUUACCCGGAUUUACUGGGUUUAAAGGGAGCGUAGACGGAAAGGCAAGGUAGGAGUGAAAACCCAAGGCUCAACCAUGGGACUGCUUUUGAAACUGUCAAACUAGAGUACGGGAGAGGUAAGAGGAAUGCGUGGUGUAGCGGUGAAAUGCGUAGAUAUUAGGAGGAACACCAGUGGCGAAGGCGUCUUACUGGACCGAAACUGACGUUGAGGCACGAAAGCGUGGGGAGCAAACAGGAUUAGAUACCCCAGUAGUC
rnacentral:rRNA from 1 species